UGAACGCUGGCGGUAGGCCUAACACAUGCAAGUCGAACGGCAGCACAGUAAGAGCUUGCUCUUACGGGUGGCGAGUGGCGGACGGGUGAGGAAUACAUCGGAAUCUACUUUUUCGUGGGGGAUAACGUAGGGAAACUUACGCUAAUACCGCAUACGACCUACGGGUGGAAGCAGGGGAUCUUCGGACCUUGCGCGAUUGAAUGAGCCGAUGUCGGAUUAGCUAGUUGGCGGGGUAAAGGCCCACCAAGGCGACGAUCCGUAGCUGGUCUGAGAGGAUGAUCAGCCACACUGGAACUGAGACACGGUCCAGACUCCUACGGGAGGCAGCAGUGGGGAAUAUUGGACAAUGGGCGCAAGCCUGAUCCAGCCAUACCGCGUGGGUGAAGAAGGCCUUCGGGUUGUAAAGCCCUUUUGUUGGGAAAGAAAAGCAGCAGGUUAAUACCCCGCUGUUCUGACGGUACCCAAAGAAUAAGCACCGGCUAACUUCGUG
rnacentral:rRNA from 1 species